AUGGAGAAUGCAUUACAUUGAUAAUGAAUAAUUUCUUGCAUUAUAAGAUUUACAUUACAGAAUUUGUCUAAAAUAUUCGAGAAAAGAAUGCAAUUUGAGCAAAAAAUGAUUAUAACAUUAUUGUUAUCGAAUACAUUAUAUUAUUCAUCCCAAUAGAAGCGAAAUGGUAAUUUCAUUUGACGAAAUCUGCAAACUGAUUACCGUCUAUAUUCCAGAAUCUAUACAUGAUGGAAUGUGUAGUUUCAUAGUUUUUUUUUCUUGUUUUUUUGUGUCCCGUUAUUUUCGGGCGACUUCAUGUCGCGUUAUUGUUGAAAUUUGUAAAUUUGUUUAGUUUUGUUUCAUUUGUGUGACAGUGAAGACGUAAGUUUAUAAAAUGUAUUGAAAGCGACAUUGGAGGCGUUUAAUAUUAAAAAAUUGGGGAAGACUUCGCUUCGUUUAUACCCAUCAUGGAAAGAAUCUUGAUUCCUUCUGGAGUUGUAAAAAACUUAUGUAGAGUACUUUCCGAAGAAUUAAUUAUGAACUAUAACUUUGAAGGAAUAAAAGGAAAAAUGGCUUUUAAGUCCUUUGAAAAUAUAAAUAAGUUAAUGUAUGAGGUGUCAAAGAGGGAAGGAUACGACGAGAAGGAAUAUAAGAAGGAUGUUGAAAAAGGCAUUCCAUUUGAUAAAAUUAAGGCAGUUUAAGGAAACACAUCUCGCCAAAAAACGUAGCGAGAAAUAAGAAUUUAUUUAAACAUAAUCCAAAAAUGAAUUAUAUUUUAUUGUUUUGUAUGUAUUCACAAUUAGUUUGUUUGUUUAUUUUUUUGUAUUGUAAGAAUACGUACAUAUAAUUAUAAACUG